rnacentral:rRNA from 1 species
UACGAAGGGGGCUAGCGUUGCUCGGAAUGACUGGGCGUAAAGGGCGCGUAGGCGGCUUGCCCAGUCAGGCGUGAAAUUCCUGGGCUCAACCUGGGGACUGCGCUUGAUACGUAUGGACUUGAGUGGGGAAGAGGGUCGUGGAAUUCCCAGUGUAGAGGUGAAAUUCGUAGAUAUUGGGAAGAACACCGGUGGCGAAGGCGGCGACCUGGUCCUUGACUGACGCUGAGGCGCGAAAGCGUGGGGAGCAAACAGG